rnacentral:rRNA from 1 species
GACGAACGCUGGCGGCGUGCCUAAUACAUGCAAGUAGAACGCACAGUUCAUACCGUAGCUUGCUACACCAUAGACCGUGAGGUGAGAACGGGUGAGGAACGCGUAGAUAACCUGCCUGGUAGCGGGAGACAACUAGUGGAAACGAUAGCUAAUACCGCAUAAUAUUAAGUAGUGCAUGAUAAGUAAUGGAAAGGUGCAAUGGCACCACUACCAGAGGGACCGUCGUAGUAUUAGCUAGUAGGUGAGGUAACGGCUCUCCUAGGCGAGGUUGCGUAGCCGCCCUGCGAGGGUGGUCGGCCACGCUGGGAUGGUGACACGGCCCAUACUCCUGCGGGUGGCAGCCGUAGUGCAUCUUUGGCGAUGGGCGCAAGUCUGAGCGCGCAACGCCGCGUGAGUGCAGAAGGUUUUCGGGUCGUAAAGCUCUGUUGUCAGUUAAGAACGGGUGUGAGAGUGGAACGUUCCCACUGUGACGGUAUCUUACCAGAAAGCGCCGGCUAACUACGUG